rnacentral:lncRNA from 1 species
CUGCCAGGCGCACCUCCCUGGGGUGGGGGGCGGGAGAGGGAGGAGACAGGGUGGACCAGGCCGCGCUGGGCGCGUGGGGGCAGGGGGGAGUCAGGCGUUCGUCACCGGGGGUCACUGACCCCUCCGAGGGGCGGCUGCUCAGAAAGCCUGGACUCUUUCCCGGCCGUGAGUGGAUCAAGUUUUCUUGUCCCAAGGGAGCUGAGAACCCCCUUCAGCAAAUCUCUGUGGAACACAUCCCACGGUCAAGGACUGCUCUAUAUCCAGCAAGACAAGGCCCUUCUCACCCUGCCCUCCAGAGGUUAAGUGGGAGCAACCAGACAAUAACGGGUCCGAACACACCCAUUUCAGAGAUGGAGAAACUGAGGUCCCAAAUCCAAGGACAGCUCUUUCCUUGUCAUGGAGCUA